rnacentral:rRNA from 1 species
UACGUAGGGGGCAAGCGUUGUCCGGAAUCAUUGGGCGUAAAGAGCGUGUAGGCGGUUCGGUAAGUCGGCUGUGAAAGUCCAGGGCUCAACCCUGGGAUGCCGGUCGAUACUGCCGGACUAGAGUUCGGAAGAGGCGAGUGGAAUUCCCGGUGUAGUGGUGAAAUGCGCAGAUAUCGGGAGGAACACCUAUGGCGAAGGCAGCUCGCUGGGACGUUACUGACGCUGAGACGCGAAAGCGUGGGGAGCAAACAGG